rnacentral:rRNA from 1 species
CGCGGAUAAUCUAUCCUCUGGUGGGGGAUAACCUCGGGAAACUGAGGCUAAUACCCCAUAGAUAUUCAAUGCUGGAAGGCUUGGAUAUUGAAAGCGCAAGCGCCAGAGGGUGAGUCUGCGGCCUAUCAGGUAGUAGGUGGUGUAACGGACCACCUAGCCUAAGACGGGUACGGGCCUUGAGAGAGGGAGCCCGGAGAUGGGUUCUGAGACACGAACCCAGGCCCUACGGGGCGCAGCAGGCGCGAAACCUUCGCACUGCGCGAAAGCGCGACGAGGGGAGCCCGAGUGCCUUUCCAAUUCGGGGAGGCUUUUCACAAGCCUAAAAAGCUUGUGGAAUAAGGGCUGGGCAAGACGGGUGCCAGCCGCCGCGGUAAUACCCGCAGCUCGAGUGGUGGUCGCUUUUAUUGAGCCUAAAACGUUCGUAGUCGGCCUUGUAAAUCCCUGGGUAAAUCGGGCCGCUUAACGGUUCGAAAUCCGGGGAGACUGCAAGGCUAGGGACCGGGCGAGGUCAGAGGUACUUUCGGGGUAGGAGUGAAAUCCUGUAAUCCCGAAGGGACCACCUGUGGCGAAAGCGUCUGACUUGAACGGCUCCGACGAUGAGGAACGAAGGCUAGGGGAGCAAACCGGAUUAGAUACCCGGGUAGUCCCAGCUGUAAACGAUGCGGACUAGGUGUUGGACGGACCUAGGGUCCGUCCAGUGCCGCAGGGAAGCCGUUAAGUCCGCCGCCUGGGGAGUACGGCCGCAAGGCUGAAACUUAAAGGAAUUGGCGGGGGAGCACCACAAGGGGUGGAGCCUGCGGCUUAAUUGGAGUCAACGCCGGGAACUUUACCGGGGGCGACAGCAGGAUGACGGCCAGGCUAAUGACCUUGCCCGACGCGCUGAGAGGAGGUGCACGGCCGUCGCCAGCUCGUGCCGUGAGGUGUCUGGUUAAGUCCAGCAACGGGCGAGACCCCUGCCCCUAAUUGCUACCCAUUCCCUCGGGAAUGGGGCACAUUAGGGGGACUGCCGGCGUAAGCCGGAGGAAGGAGGGGGCCACGGCAGGUCAGUAUGCCCCGAAACCCCGGGGCUGCACGCGAGCUGCAAUGGCGGGGACAGCGGGAUCCGACCCCGAAAGGGGAAGGCAAUCCCGUAAACCCCGCCCCAGUAGGGAUCGAGGGCUGCAACUCGCCCUCGUGAACGUGGAAUCCCUAGUAACCGCGUGUCACCAACGCGCGGUGAAUACGUCCCUGCCCCUUGCACACACCGCCCGUCGCGCCACCCGAGGGUGCCCUCAACGAGGCCUCUUCUCUCCAGGGUCCCCCCUGGGGAGGGGAGGACGAGUUGGGGGCUCCUAAGGGGGGCGAAGUCGUAACAAGGUGGCCGUAGGGGAACCUGCGGCUGGAUCACCUCAAUC